AACGAACGCUGGCGGCAGGCUUAACACAUGCAAGUCGAACGAGAUCUUCGGAUCUAGUGGCAGACGGGUGAGGAACACGUGGGAACAUCCCUUUCAGUUCGGAAUAACGUUGGGAAACUAACGCUAAUACCGGAUACGUCCUUCGGGAGAAAGAUUUAUCGCUGAAAGAUUGGCCCGCGUCUGAUUAGCUAGUUGGUGAGGUAACGGCUCACCAAGGCUACGAUCAGUAGCUGAUCUGAGAGGAUGAUCAGCCACAUUGGGACUGAGACACGGCCCAAACUCCUACGGGAGGCAGCAGUGGGGAAUAUUGGACAAUGGGCGCAAGCCUGAUCCAGCCAUGCCGCGUGAGUGAUGACGGCCUUCGGGUUGUAAGGCUCUUUUGUCCGGGAAGAUAAUGACUGUACCGGAAGAAUAAGCCCCGGCAAACUUCGCGCCAGCAGCCGCCGUAA
rnacentral:rRNA from 1 species